rnacentral:rRNA from 1 species
UACGUAGGGUGCGAGCGUUGUCCGGAAUUAUUGGGCGUAAAGGGCUCGUAGGCGGUUUGUCGCGUCGGGAGUGAAAUCCACUGGCUUAACUGGUGGCUUGCUUUCGAUACGGGCAGACUGGAGGUAUGCAGGGGAGAACGGAAUUCCUGGUGUAGCGGUGGAAUGCGCAGAUAUCAGGAGGAACACCGAUGGCGAAGGCAGGUCUCUGGGCCGCAACUGACGCUGAGGAGCGAAAGCAUGGGGAGCGAACAGG